rnacentral:rRNA from 1 species
GAGUUUGAUCAUGGCUCAGAACGAACGCUGGCGGCAUGCCUAACACAUGCAAGUCGAACGGGAUCCGGACUUCGGUUCGGUGAGAGUGGCGGACGGGUGAGUAACGCGUGGGAACCUGCCCAGUGGUGGGGGAUAACUGCGGGAAACUGCAGCUAAUACCGCAUGAGCCCGAGAGGGGAAAGAUUUAUCGCCAUUGGAGGGGCCCGCGUUCGAUUAGGUAGUUGGUGAGGUAAUGGCUCACCAAGCCGACGAUCGAUAGCUGGUCUGAGAGGAUGAUCAGCCACACUGGGACUGAGAUACGGCCCAGACUCCUACGGGAGGCAGCAGUGGGGAAUAUUGGACAAUGGGGGCAACCCUGAUCCAGCAAUGCCGCGUGAGUGAUGAAGGCCUUCGGUUGUAAG